UCUGCUUAUUUCAAAACCCCGUUUUUAAUUUCUUAAAGAAGCGAGCCGUGGCAUGAAGCCUGUGUUCCGCGUAUUCGGUUGGCGUUUGAAGUUUUAUUCCUCCCGUGCCCCUUAUGCUCUCCGUCUCCUCCGUCACUCCAUCUCAUUCCCUAGCUCGAUCUGAAGUCCCUCACCUCUCGCUCUGCAAAAAACCCUACCCGUCCGCAUCUCACGCUCAAUCUUGAGGGAAGCAUCUCUCGCUUCUCUCGGCCCCUUCCAUUCCGCAUAUACCAUUUUGAGCUCGUCGUCUACCUCGGUGCCGACAGCCUCCACAUCCUUCUCCGCCUGAUAGCUUCUUCCAGGUGUCCCCCCGACGGUACCACUUGUAGUUGCGUGCAAGCAAGUUUUCGUUCUCCAUUUUGGUUUUCUCACAACCACGAUCUCCACCUCGCUUCCCCUCCUUUUCUCCUGCUCCGCUCCUCCAACCAGUAAUGCUUGCAGUGGCAAAUACCUCAUGCUAUGGCGGGUUUAUCUUUCCUCUUAUCGUUCUCUUCCGCAUUGCAUCCGCUUUUCGUUCUUCACUUGUCGUCGGCCAUGGAGUAGUAACAUCACGAAUUAUUCAAGCCUUAAAUUUCUUUAUGGAGUGGUUUGAUUUUAUGGUUGUGUGCCUUUAUUGGGAUUUGUUUUAGGGUUGAUCUUUGUGAUGUUGUGCUAUAGUGUUGUGGUGUCCUGUAAAAAAUAUAAUUGUUUGGUAAAAAUUGUGUUAAGAUUGAGGUUGUGGUGCUUUAGAAGUAGUUGUAAAUUGAUAUGGAAGUUAUAACAAA